rnacentral:lncRNA from 1 species
AUCUUUCAUUUUUAUUUAGCACUAGAAUGGUGGGAACGAAAAUUAUUUUCUAAAUUCUGUAAUUAUAUUGAUUUCACUAUGUAUUUUUUGAGUAUUUGUGUAAGUGUAUUAUAGAUCUUCAGAAUCUGAAUUUUAACUCGUAUGUAAGCUAAAUUGUAGUUUAUGCAGGAGUUCAUUUCAACUUUCCUUCUUAUUUGUUUUUUCUCUUAGAAGUGCUUGAUGAGAAUUCUCCUCCAAACUGGACCCUGUUAUUAUUAAUUAAGCAUUUGGUGUGUUCUACGAUUUUUCUCCCCCU